rnacentral:lncRNA from 1 species
GUUCUACUGUAGAGUUCCACAGAUUAAAUAUAGACCCACAUCACGACGAAAAUAUUACGAAUGGCGUGAGCAGUGUGAAAUUAGAUAAAUAGGCCAUAUAAAAAGAUACAAAAAUAUAUAUGUACAGAAAUAUGUACAAAGAAACUAAUCAGACGGCUGGCUAUCUGCUUGGCGCAAGACCCGCAAUAUCGACACGAAGAUAAGGACAAAGACUCGCCUCGGAGCAACAAACAAUUCCCUCAACAAAUGGCACAGCUCCUCGAUAAUUGUGUCGAUAAUUUGGGCAUCAGUCACAGGAUAUGCCAUGACAUGUAGGAGCGACAAGUGCCACUGCGAUUUCAUAAUCAAACUGUCGAACUGUAGACCUGCCAUAUAUAUUUUUUGUUGAUCGAGUAAUCAAUUAUGAGGGGCUAUUAGUAGCGCCAUUAACGGUAAUCUCAACGAGCAGUUGGUACAAAACCAAUUGAAACAAUAAACCCAAUACAGCCAGCCCCCAGCAACGCUCGCCUCAAUAAACAGGUUUUGGUUUUGGUUUUGCUUUUCAUUUUGCUUUGCCUCCUUUUACUGCUUUUAUUAUUGUGUUUGUUUACCUCUGCCUCUACACAUUGUAGCUGUAAAUCUGGUGUUAUCAGAAGCUCGUAUUUUGUUACGCAUCGUUCUGCUCUCGUCACAAGGAAGUGUCUGUGUAUAAGUUUCUUGACCCAGUUUCGGCUACGCUUUUUUGCCACUCGAAGUGCAAAAACAGACGUGUACAUAAAUGUAUGUACAGUUAAGUGAAUCGCUUGAAAAUGCUCAUUUUUCUGGCCUCCACUGUACAGGAGCAGUAACACAUCACGCACCGUGGCCGUGCGCCAAAAACUUGUUGAUAUUUCUAUUUAUUUAUUCAAACAUGUGCAUGUGUGUGUGUGUGUACAUAUGUAUGUAUGUAGGUAUAUAAGAUAACAAGUUUUCCUCUCUGCAUAGAGAGCAACGAUUACAUCAAUUAAAUUUGAGAAUUCCGAAUUUUCUUGCCAAUGUUGGAUGUUUUUAUUUCCAGCAUGAUUUAUGAGCAUUUGAUAACGCGUUGCCUGCUGAUAGCCAGUGCCAUCAAUUGACCGAGUUAAAUGCCACGCCAAAAACAGAUAAUAGCAACAAGUGGUCUGGGGUCAGACUUUCUGCAGGCGGAAGGAGAAUCUUAUCAGCUGUUUUGGACUUUAAACGCCACACAAAUUAACUUAAUGCCUAAUAUAAUGUUUAAAUGUUUAAUGAACCGCCCACAGCCAAUGAGUCUUGCUCAAGUAAUCUCAUUCAUAAGUGGGCUUAAAAUUAAAACAUUUGCACUAGACUUUGCUGGCAGAUCGUUCGAAAUGCAAUCUACUUUUGAAAAUGUAUAAAUAAAGAGAUGUACACAUGCACAUCCAUAAAUGCCUUUAGAUGUUAUCACAGAAAAUCCAACGAUAAGAUUGUGUUCCCAUUGGAAAAGCAUUUCUGUUCCUUUGCAUAUUGUUCAGGCGGCAAAAACACUUUUCAGCUUAUCAUUUCAUAUUAUGCAAAUGGACACAGGAAAAGGAAUUUUGUUAGGCAGCGGAGCAUAACUGGAUUAUCCACAGACCUGCAUUGUAAGAUGUGAACAACUAUAAAACUUGUUCCAUGAAUAUAGAUGAACUUCGUUAAUGAUCUUGCUGUGGAUUUCGGUGCGGA